GGAGAGGUGACUGAGAGGCCGAAAGUAGCCGUUUGCUAAACUGCCGUACGUGUUAAAGCGUACCGAGGGUUCGAAUCCCUCCCUCUCCACAG
rnacentral:tRNA from 1 species